rnacentral:hammerhead_ribozyme from 1 species
AUCCAGCUGAGGAGUCCCAAAUAGGACGAGAUGUGCGAGCUGGAU